rnacentral:misc_RNA from 1 species
GAGGGGGAAUUGGCGAAUUGUCAGAAGGAACUUGAAUAAUCAACGUGUGAUAGCAGUGGUUUCAACUGAUCACAAUCUCAUUAACUCUGAUGAAAAUGAAGUUUAUACAUCAAGAUGCAUGAUGUGUUGUCGUGUAUUUGCCAUAAUAUUUAUGCUGCUUCUAGUUAUACGUAACACUCUUCCUCUCAUAGUUGAUCAAGCAGGGGACUACUCACUUCCAUUGGUUAUGUUGCUACUUCUUAGAGUUAUGGGCAUUGUUCUGCCCGUCUACGUCAUAAUGAAAGCAGUGAUUUCUUGCCACCACCGGCAACACCAACAGGCUACUUUGCCAAUCUCUUCGUCCCGUGAAGAGGCUAGCUUGGUGACUCUGCAACAAGAACCUCCCAUAACUGCUAUCCAAUGAAUGAAUUUUCGUUGUUGAACAACAAAGAGAAGUUUUUCUCCGAGAUUCUUCAUUUCCCCGCUGUUUAUUACUCUCUCUUCCAGCAUAUGUCGCGGGAGUUCCCACCCCACACUUAGACUCUUGUUUGUCCUCGAGAACUGCUCCAAAGUUCAUGAAGGAUGAUGAGUCGGCAUGAAGUUAUAUACUGAAGAGAUCUGUGAGGAGAACUCAAAAUAGAAGCAUACAGGUAAAAAAGAAAGGGACUCAAAAGAGAUGAAAAAUGUCCAAUUUUACAGCUAGAGAUAUCUGAAAGUGUGAAUUAGUCGAAAAAAACUAUGUAGAGUUAAUAUGUAU